rnacentral:rRNA from 1 species
UUCCGGUUGAUCCCGCCGGACCUGACUGCUAUCGGAUUGAUACUAAGCCAUGCGAGUCUUUGUAGUAAUACAAGGCAGACGGCUCAGUAACGCGUAGUCAACCUACCCUAUGGACGGGGAUAAUCUCGGGAAACUGAGCAUAAUACCCGGCGUACCAUCAUUCCUGGAAUGGUUGGUGGUUAAAAUGAUUCGUCGCCGUAGGAUGGGACUGCGACCUAUCAGCUUGUUGGUGGGGUAAAGGCCCACCAAGGCGAUUACAGGUACGGGCUCUGAGAGGAGAAGCCCGGAGAUGGGUACUGAGACACGGACCCAGGCCCUAUGGGGCGCAGCAGGCGAGAAAACUUUGCAAUGUGCGAAAGCACGACAAGGUUAAUCCGAGUGAUUUCUGCUAAAGGAAUCUUUUGCCAGUUCUAAAAAUACUAGUGAAUAAGGGGUGGGCAAGUUCUGGUGUCAGCCGCCGCGGUAAAACCAGCACCUCAAGUGGUCAGGAGGAUUAUUGGGCCUAAAGCAUCCGUAGCCUGUUCUGUAAGUUUUCGGUUAAAUCUAUAUGCUCAACGUAUAGGCUGUCGAAAAUACUGCAGUGCUAGGAAGUGGGAGAGGUAGACGGUACUUGAUAGGAAGGGGUAAAAUCCUUUGAUCUAUCGAUGACCACCUGUGGCGAAGGCGGUCUACCAGAACACGUUCGACGGUGAGGGAUGAAAGCUGGGGGAGCAAACCGGAUUAGAUACCCGGGUAGUCCCAGCUGUAAACGAUGCAGACUCGAUGAUGCAUUGGCAUAUAGCCGGUGCAGUGUCGCAGGGAAGCCGUUAAGUCUGCCGCCUGGGAAGUACGUACGCAAGUAUGAAACUUAAAGGAAUUGGCGGGGGAGCACCACAAGGGGUGAAGCCUGCGGUUCAAUUGGAGUCAACGCCGGG